rnacentral:tRNA from 1 species
AGUUAUUUUGGCAGAUUAGUGCGUAAGAUUUAGAAUCUUUACAUAUAAUUUUAUAUUAUAAAUAAU